UACACGACCGUACCGCAAACCGACACUGGUGCGCGAGAUGAGUAUUCUAAGGCGCUUGAGAGAACUCAGGAGAAGGAACUCGGCAAAUUGACACCGUAACUUCGGAAGAAGGUGUGCCCUAUUAGUGUGAAGUGAACAACGGAGCAUGAAUGGGUUGCAAAAAAUCGGUGGCUGCGACUGUUUAUUAAAAACACAGCACUCUGCAAACACGAAAGUGGACGUAUAGGGUGUGACGCCUGCCCGGUGCUGGAAGAUUAAAUGAUGGGGUGCAAGCUCUUGAUUGAAGUCCCAGUAAACGGCGGCCGUAACUAUAACGGUCCUAAGGUAGCGAAAUUCCUUGUCGGGUAAGUUCCGACCUGCACGAAUGGCGUAACGAUGGCCACACUGUCUCCUCCUGAGACUCAGCGAAGUUGAAAUGUUUGUGAUGAUGCAAUCUCCCCGCGGAAAGACGGAAAGACCCCAUGAACCUUUACUGUAGCUUUGUAUUGGACUUUGAACAGAUCUGUGUAGGAUAGGUGGGAGGCUUUGAAGCAGGGUCGCUAGAUCUUGUGGAGCCAACGUUGAAAUACCACCCUGGUGUGUUUGAGGUUCUAACCUAGGUCCAUUAUCUGGAUCGGGGACAGUGCAUGGUAGGCAGUUUGACUGGGGCGGUCUCCUCCCAAAGCGUAACGGAGGAGUUCGAAGGUACGCUAGUUACGGUCGGACAUCGUGACGAUAGUGCAAUGGCAUAAGCGUGCUUAACUGCGAGACUGACAAGUCGAGCAGAUGCGAAAGCAGGACAUAGUGAUCCGGUGGUUCUGUAUGGAAGGGCCAUCGCUCAACGGAUAAAAGGUACUCUGGGGAUAACAGGCUGAUACCGCCCAAGAGUUCAUAUCGACGGCGGUGUUUGGCACCUCGAUGUCGGCUCAUCUCAUCCUGGGGCUGUAGCCGGUCCCAAGGGUAUGGCUGUUCGCCAUUUAAAGAGGUACGUGAGCUGGGUUUAAAACGUCGUGAGACAGUUUGGUCCCUAUCUUCCGUGGGCGCUGCAGAUUUGAGGAAGCCUGCUCCUAGUACGAGAGGACCGGAGUGGACACACCUCUGGUGUAUCGGUUGUCACGCCAGUGGCAUUGCCGAGUAGCUAAGUGUGGAAGAGAUAACCGCUGAAAGCAUCUAAGCGGGAAACUCGUUUCAAGAUGAGAUCUGCCGGGGCCUUGAGCCCCCUAAAGAGUCGUUCAAGACCAGGACGUUGAUAGGUCAGGUGUGGAAGC
rnacentral:rRNA from 1 species